rnacentral:rRNA from 1 species
AUGCCGUUGUGGCCGAACAGCAACGAGAUGUCGGACGACGAUGAUGAGUACAUGAGUGAGUUCAGCAGCAUGCAGAUGGAGUACUUUCAAACUCCUGACACUGUGAUAGACCCUAGUUUCUGUGGGCUUGUGACUGAAUCUGAUAGAAGGUGCAUCCUGCACAGGCAGAGGGCGGGCAAGUUUGUGGCAUUUGAAGGCACUGACACUGUCAAGAGAUUCAUAGGAUGUGCUACUGAGGAUGGUGUGAACUAUGGUGUUCUGGAGUGGGUAGAUGCCCCCUGGCCUGUAAUUCUGUGA